UGUAACCUGGAGAGCCCUAGCUCCUUCUGUGAGGUCAGAAGUGUUGUUGUGACACCACCUGCUUCUCAGAUAUUCCUUCAGUACAUCUAGGGUUUGUAACUGGCCUUUAAUUCAGAGUAAACAGCCAUUUUUUUAGGGAGAGCAAAGAGGAUGAAAGGAUCCGAGAUGAGGAGAAGGAAGCUGCCCUUCUGUCAUGGUAUAAAAAAGGAAGAAAUACAUGGUCCACUGGAGAGCUCAGUGAAUCCUGGGAACCUAUUGAGGUUGAUGUUUAACUGGACCUCAAGCCAUUCCUCUCACUGCCCAUCCUCCUAAGUAUGAUGUAUGGCCUGAAGAAAUAAUCAUGGUGGGAACACAGCUUUUCUGAUGUCUGGAAAUUUUUGGAUAAACUAAGGAUUUGGAAGUUCAUCAUUGGAAGUAGGUACAUAAUAUUUACAUUUUUAUAUUCAACGUUAGGUGGGACCCUUGGGUUGCCAAAAUCAUUGCAAAAAAACAUGAAAUUGGAAAACAGAAUUUUUCACUUCACAUUCAGGAAUAUAUAAAGUCACCUAUCAAGGAAUGUACAAUGAGAAACUGUAAUGAA